CAGUUGUUCUCGUAGAAGUCCAGGG
rnacentral:piRNA from 1 species